UACGUAGGUGGCAAGCGUUUGUCCGGAUUUACUGGGCGUAAAGAGCGCGCAGGCGGUCGGAUAAGUCGAAUGUGAAAGCCCCCGGCUCAACUGGGGAGGGUCAUUCGAUACUGUUCGACUCGAAGGCAGGAGAGGGAAGUGGAAUUCCCGGUGUAGUGGUGAAAUGCGUAGAUAUCGGGAGGAACACCAGUGGCGAAGGCGACUUCCUGCCUGUUCUUGACGCUGAGGCGCGAAAGCUAGGGGAGCAAACGGG
rnacentral:rRNA from 1 species